rnacentral:rRNA from 1 species
UACGUAGGGUGCGAGCGUUGUCCGGAAUUAUUGGGCGUAAAGAGCUCGUAGGCGGUCUGUCGCGUCGAAUGUGAAAACCCGGGGCUCAACUCCGGGCUUACAUUCGAUACGGGCAGACUAGAGUUCGGUAGGGGAGUCUGGAAUUCCUGGUGUAGCGGUGAAAUGCGCAGAUAUCAGGAGGAACACCGGUGGCGAAGGCGGGUCUCUGGGCCGAUACUGACGCUGAGGAGCGAAAGCAUGGGUAGCGAACAGG